UUUCCAUACACCUGAGGUUGUUGGAUUCGCUAUAGUUAGGCAUGGCAAUUCUUUAGCUUUAGCUUUGAUUUUUAUAACAGCAGUUGUAUGCUCACUGCUCCAAUUAACAGGGUUUUUCCGUAAUCUUGCAUAUAGAGAUACCACUAAUCCGGC